UGACUGCUSCUAUACUUUGUUGCUUUAAUCGCUGACUUGCUCUCUUUUGCAUCUAAGCUCAUAGCUCAUGCCGUGUAAUGGGAGUCCUAUUUAAAUCUUCUCCCAUUUGGCUUCUGUUUUGUGUGUGCCAAUUAAACUACUCUGAUAACUGUUCUCUGUAAAAGGUGAAGUACAGCUACUCUGUCAACAUCUUUUUUGUGCUGUCAGAUGUCUUCCCUAAUCUGCAGCUCAUAAGUGAACCUUCUUGUGGUUCUCCACUGCUCUCUGUUGUGUCAAAAAGGAUUCUUCUCACUCCCAGGGGUCUGCGUGUUCCUAAUCUAUCUCUUUCCCUUCUGCAGGUUUCUUUGUACAGCUCUGUUCAGUGUAAGAACAGUAUCCUUCCCUCAGGUGGUGCUGAAGAUUGUGUUCAUAUUCAGAAGUCAGACUGGGCACUCUGCUUUUUCAUCUUGAUCUUGAAAUGUCAUCGCCUGGAGUGGCUUAAUUAUUUAAAGAAAACAAUACAAACAUUCUGAUGGAAUGGGACAGUUCUGGAGUAGGCAGUAUAUUUAAACGCAUGCACAUGCUUAUGUACUAAUUAAACUAAGGUGGAGCUUAUGCACAGCCUAUUCUUCUUACACUCAGCAUCCUGUAGUUUUAAGGAGAAGCGUUUUGACUCUUCAUCUAUCAUUUGCAGAUUUGUUUUGUUUUGAACAAGUGUAAAAUGGGAGCAAAAGUAUUUCUUUAUUCUGUGGUAUUGAGUUACUCUGAGCCCAUUAACCUGCAAGUGAUGCUUUUCAUGCUUUAUGGUAGUUGCUUAAAAAACAAAGCAUAUUUGUGUGACCAGACUGAUCUCUGUUAUAAGUAAAUAGCUCAGUGACUUCAAUCAAGUUAUGCUUGCAUUCACAUGCUUUGAAUUUGGCACUUUAAGUCAGUCGCUUAAGGUCUGUUUAGCAUGUUGUGUGUAUUCUGUCACAGAGCUGUUGGUGGUGUUUCACUGGUGAGUAUUAUAUGCUGUUUGUAGUUGCUCACUAGGUCUUGAUCUGAUAAGACUAAAUUUCCUCAAAUAAUUCCACAUUGCCAGUGACUGUUUAUUUUAUUUUUCACACUUUCACCUCUCUACUUGGAAAGAAUUUUUUUGGUUACUUUUUAAAUUGUUGCUCAACUUUUGUAAUAGGAAAAGUGAUACUAGGAAAAAAAUGGAAUAAACUUAGCUUUCUCAAGAAACA
rnacentral:lncRNA from 1 species